UACGUAGGUGACAAGCGUUGUCCGGAUUUAUUGGGCGUAAAGAGCGUGUAGGCGGCCAGGUAGGUCAGCUGUGAAAACUCGAGGCUCAACCUCGAGAUGUCGGCUGAAACCAUCUGGCUAGAGUCCGGAAGAGGAGAAUGGAAUUCCCGGUGUAGCGGUGAAAUGCGCAGAUAUCGGGAAGAACACCCGUGGCGAAGGCGGUUCUCUGGGACGGUACUGACGCUGAGACGCGAAAGCGUGGGGAGCGAACAGG
rnacentral:rRNA from 1 species